rnacentral:RNase_P_RNA from 1 species
UAAGUAAUUCGCCUUAUCGCUGUUUGUUUUAACAAAUGGAGGAAAGUCCGAACACCAUAGUGCAGCAUAGUGGCUAACAGCCAUCGGCCGUGAGGUUAGGAAAAGUGCAACAGAAAGAAUGUACAGGUUAAGCUGUAGUGAAAUCAGGUAAACUCUAUGCGGUGCAAUGCCAUGUAUACCAACGUUUGAGUGCGGCACGUGCAAUUGUUGGAGGGUAGGCAGCUAAAGUGUGCUGGUAACAGUACACUCAGAUAAAUGAUAAGGGUUUUUCUUUUCUAGAAAAAUACAGAAUUCGGCUUAUAGGAUUACUUAUAAA